GGGGCUGCUUAUGGCUUCGACGAAAAUAUAAGUAUUUAAUUAGCAAGACGUGCUCUUCGCGUAAAGAAGAAAAUUAAACAUAACUGGAAACAGCUAUAAAAACGCUGUUGCUUAUGCCUAACCAAUAGGCAGCAACAGGUUCUACUAAUUCUUUGUCUGUGAGAAUUAGCUAGGACUUAUAAAGCAGACUAUAUUAUGAUUUAAGUUUAGACCUCAUAACGAACAACUAUAAACUAGCAAGUAAUUACGAUUGUAGGUUGUCUAUUUACUUUGCGAAUCUGAUAACCUAAUAAUCUUGUAGAAGGUUAAAUAACUUUAUUUGCGGACAGGGGUUCGAGUCCCCUCAGCUCCACCA
rfam:Firmicutes bacterium CAG:321 genomic scaffold, scf92